UCUGGCGGCCUUAGCGCGGUGGUCCCACCUGACCCCAUGCCGAACUCAGAAGUGAAACGCCGUAGCGCCGAUGGUAGUGUGGGGUCUCCCCAUGCGAGAGUAGGGAACUGCCAGGU
rnacentral:rRNA from 1 species